ACGGGAGGCAGCAGUGGGGGAUAUUGCGCAAUGGGGGCAACCCUGACGCAGCAACGCCGCGUGAAGGAUGAAGGUUUUCGGAUUGUAAACUUCUUUUAUUAAGGACGAAAUAUGACGGUACUUAAUGAAUAAGCCACGGCUAACUACGUGCCAGCAGCCGCGGUAAUACGUAGGUGGCGAGCGUUGUCCGGAUUUACUGGGUGUAAAGGGCGUGUAGGCGGGAUUACAAGUCAGAUGUGAAAUACCGAGGCUUAACUUCGGGGCUGCAUUUGAAACUGUAGUUCUUGAGUGUCGGAGAGGAAAGCGGAAUUCCUAGUGUAGCGGUGAAAUGCGUAGAUAUUAGGAGGAACACCAGUGGCGAAGGCGGCUUUCUGGACGAUAACUGACGCUGAGGCGCGAAAGUGUGGGGAGCAAACAGGAUUAGAUACCCUGGUA
rnacentral:rRNA from 1 species